ensembl:misc_RNA 7SK 7SK RNA
GGAUGUGAGGGCAAUCUGGCUGCAACAUCUGUCACCCCACUGAUCACCAGGGUUGAUUCGGCUGAUCUGGCUGGCUAGGUGGGUGUCCCCUUCCUCCCUCACUGCUCCAUGUGCAUCCCUCCUGAAGCUGUGCACUCGGUCAAAGAGGACGAACUUCCCCGAUAGAGGAGGACCGUUCUUCGGUCAAGGGUAUACGAGUAGCUGUGCUCGCCUGCUGGAACCUCCAAACACGCUCCUCAGGUCCAUUUGUAGGAGAACGUAGGGUAGUCAAGCGUCCAAGACUCCAGACGCAUCCAAAUGAGGCGCUGCACGUGGCAUCUGCCUUU